GACGAACGCUGGCGGCGUGCUUAACACAUGCAAGUCGUACGGUAAGGCCCUUUCGGGGGUACACGAGUGGCGAACGGGCGAGUAACACGUGAGUAACCUGCCCACAACUUUGGGAUAACGCUAGGAAACUGGUGCUAAUACUGGAUAUGUGCCCCUGCUGCAUGGUGGGGGUUGGAAAGCUCCGGCGGUUGUGGAUGGACUCGCGGCCUAUCAGCUUGUUGGUGGGGUAGUGGCCUACCAAGGCGGCGACGGGUAGCCGGCCUGAGAGGGUGACCGGCCACAUUGGGGCUUGGGUGCGGCCCAGGCUCCUACGGGAGGCAGCAGUGGGGAAUAUUGCACAAUGGGCGCAAGCCUGGUGCAGCAACGCCGCGGGCGGGAUGACGGCCUUCGGGUUGGAAACCGCUUUCAGCAGGGACGAAGCUUUUUGUGACGGUACCUGCAGAAGAAGCACCGGCUAACUACGUG
rnacentral:rRNA from 1 species